rnacentral:tRNA from 1 species
AACGAUGUAGCUCAGUAGGUAGAGCAUCAGGUUAGCCUGAAGGUCGCCGGUUCGAGUCCGGCCAUCGUUCCCA